AUGUUUUUACUCACGAGUUUUACAUAAUUUUAAUUUCAUUAGUUGUUAGAUCUUAUGAGUAUAGAACAUUUUUUAUGUAUUUGUUAGUGUUGCUUUUGAAUAUUAGAAGAGACAGUGUAAAAAGGGAUACUAAAGUGGACAAAGAAACCAAUUUCAAAUAAAUUGGAACAGAAAGUCAGCGUCCAAGAGUUGCAAUUCGAAGAAAGCAGUAGUUUUUGAAUAUAAAGGCAGCGCUUGGGCGCUGCACUCAUAACGCCCAGGCGCUACACUGUUUUUCAUCACGUUUUUAUAGGGUUACUUCGUUUUGGUUCGUAAAAAAUCUAUAAAGACUACGAAUUUGGGGAGGACAUAAAGGACUUCUAAAAGGGAUUUCACAUAUUGAGAGAAGGAGAACACAACUAGAGAAUUAGAGCAAAUUCAAGAUGAGAAAAAAAUAAUUUAAGAGGUUGAAAUCAAGAUUUGGAACGAAAAGAAGAACUUGGUACAAGAUUUAUCAAUUUCUCUACAUCAAAAAUUCAAAACACGGUAAUGUACUCCAUUACUGUUAUUUGUUUUUUCAUCCAUCAUGAGUAGUUAAACCUUAUAUACG
rnacentral:lncRNA from 1 species